rnacentral:lncRNA from 1 species
UGCAGUGGUGGGAUCGCACAGGAUCCGCCGCGGGGAGUGGAGCAGAAUUGUGGCCGUUAAUACGGCCUGUCGGGGAGUAAUGGAGUUGCGUAGGGUCCGCCGCAGGGAGCGGAGCAGUGUUGUCCGUUACUGUGGUCUGCCAGGGAGUAAUGGAGCCGCGUAGGGCCCGCCGCAGGGAGUGGGGCCAAAUCGUGGCCGUUACUGUGGCCUGCCAGGGGGUCCAGACUUAUCGGCCGAAGUUUGGUUGGAGUCGGUAGUGAGG